rnacentral:rRNA from 1 species
UUAAAAUAGGUUGGUCAUGCCUCUGGUAUGUACUGGUCUCACUGAUUCCUCCUUCCUGAUGAACCGUAAUGCCAUUAAUUUGGUGUUGCGGGGAAUUUGGACUGUUACUUUGAAAAAAUUAGAGUGUUUAAAGCAAGCUAACGCUUGAAUACAUUAGCAUGGAAUAAUGAAAUAGGACGUUCGAUCCUAUUUUGUUGGUUUCUAGGAUUGACGUAAUGAUUAAUAGGGAUAGUUGGGGG